UAGGCGAAGUCAUUGAUCCUAUGCUGCCUAGAAAAGCCCAGCAGCGAGUUGACAUAGUGCCCGUACCCCAAACCAACACAGGUGGACAGGUAGAGCAUACCAAGGCGAGUGGGAUAACUAUGGUUAAGGGACUCGGCAAAUUGCCUCCGUAACUUCGGGAGAAGGAGGACCCCAGUAGCGUGAUGAGACUUGCUCUCUGAGCGUGAAGGGGUGGCACAAAAUUGAGGGAAGCGACUGUUUACCAAAAACACAGCAGCGUGCUAAGCCGUAAGGCGCUGUAUACGCUGUGACUCCUGCCCGGUGCUGGAAGGUUACGGGGAUGGGUUAGUCCUUCGGGACGAAGCUCUGAACCUAAGCCCCAGUAAACGGCGGCCGUAACUAUAACGGUCCUAAGGUAGCGAAAUUCCUUGGCGGGUAAGUUCCGACCUGCACGAAUGGAGUAACGACUUCCCUACUGUCUCAACCAUAGACCCAGCGAAAUUGAAGUACGAGUAAAGAUGCUCGUUAGCUGCAGAAGGACGGAAAGACCCCGUGGACCUUUACUAUAACUUGAUGUUGUGUUUUGUCAUAUGUUGUGUAGGAUAGGUGGGAGACUUGGAAGCAUGGACGCUAGUCUGUGUGGAGUCAUCGUUGAAAUACCACCCUGCAUAUGGUGAGGCUCUAACCUAGACCCGUUAUCCGGGUUGGGGACAGCGUCAGGCGGGUAGUUUAACUGGGGCGGUUGCCUCCUAAAGAGUAACGGAGGCGCCCAAAGGUUCCCUCAGCCUGGUUGGCAAUCAGGCGUUGAGUGCAAUGGCAAAAGGGAGCUUGACUGCGAGACCUACAAGUCGAGCAGGAGCGAAAGCUGGGCAUAGUGAUCCGGCGGUUGCGUGUGGAAGCGCCGUCGCUCAACGGAUAAAAGGUACCCCGGGGAUAACAGGCUAAUCUUGCCCAAGCGUCCAUAGCGACGGCAAGGUUUGGCACCUCGAUGUCGGCUCAUCGCAUCCUGGGGCUGAAGCAGGUCCCAAGGGUUGGGCUGUUCGCCCAUUAAAGCGGUACGCGAGCUGGGUUCAGAACGUCGUGAGACAGUUCGGUCCCUAUCCUCUGCAGCCGGAGGUGAAUUGAGGAAAGCUGUCCCUAGUACGAGAGGACCGGGACGGACGCAGCUCUCGUGUGCCAGUUGUCCUGCCAAGGGCAUGGCUGGUUAGCGACCUGCGGAAAGGAUAACCGCUGAAAGCAUCUAAGCGGGAAGCCUCUUCCAAGAUGAAUUCACCCACAGGGUUAACCUGGUAAGGCCCGUGGUAGACCACCACGUUGAUAGGCCGGAAGUGUAAGCGUGGCAACACGUUCAGCUGACCGGUACUAAUCGGCCGAGGGCUUGAGUUC
rnacentral:rRNA from 1 species